AUUGAACGCUGGCGGCAGGCUUAACACAUGCAAGUCGAGCGGAGAUGAGGUGCUUGCACCUUAUCUUAGCGGCGGACGGGUGAGUAAUGCUUAGGAAUCUGCCUAUUAGUGGGGGACAACAUUCCGAAAGGAAUGCUAAUACCGCAUACGUCCUACGGGAGAAAGCAGGGGAUCUUCGGACCUUGCGCUAAUAGAUGAGGCUAAGUCGGAUUAGCUAGUUGGUGGGGUAAAGGCCUACCAAGGCGACGGUCGGUAGCGGGUCUGCGAGGAUGAUCCGCCACACUGGGACGGAGACACGGCCCAGACUCCUACGGGAGGCAGCAGUGGGGAAUAUUGGACAAUGAGGGGAACCCUGAUCCAGCCAUGCCGCGUGUGUGAAGAAGGCCUUAUGGUUGUAAAGCACUUUAAGCGAGGAGGAGGCUACUGGGACUAAUACUCUUGGAUAGUGGACGUUACUCGCAGAAUAAGCACCGGCUAACUCUGUGCCAGCCGCCGCGGUAAGAC
rnacentral:rRNA from 1 species